GAUGAACGCUGGCGGCGUGCCUAAUACAUGCAAGUCGAGCGAACGGACGAGAAGCUUGCUCCUCUGAUGUUAGCGGCGGACGGGUGAGUAACACGUGGAUAACCUACCUAUAUGACUGGGAUAACUUCGGGAAACCGGAGCUAAUACUGGAUAAUAUUUUGAACCGCUUGGUUCAAAAGUGAAAGACGGUCUUGCUGUCACUUAUAGAUGGAUCCGCGCUGCAUUAGCUAGUUGGUAAGGUAACGGCUUACCAAGGCAACGAUGCAUAGCCGACCUGAGAGGAUGAUCGGCCACACUGGAACUGAGACACGGUCCAGACUCCUACGGGAGGCAGCAGUAGGGAAUCUUGGGCAAUGGGCGAAAGCCUGACGGAGCAACACCGCGUGGGUGAAGAAGGUCUUCGGGUCGUAAAGCUCUGUUGUUAGGAAAGAACAUAUGUGUAAGUAACUGUGGACAUCCUGACGGUACCUAAACAGAAAGCAACGGCUAACUACGUG
rnacentral:rRNA from 1 species